GUGGGGAAUUUUGGACAAUGGGCGCAAGCCUGAUCCAGCCAUUCCGCGUGCAGGAUGAAGGCCUUCGGGUUGUAAACUGCUUUUGUACGGAACGAAAAGCCUCUGGUUAAUACCCGGGGGUCAUGACGGUACCGUAAGAAUAAGCACCGCCUAACUACGUGCCAGCAGCCGCGGUAAUACGUAGGGUGCGAGCGUUAAUCGGAAUUACUGGGCGUAAAGCGUGCGAAGGAGGUGAUGUAAGACAGUGGUGAAGUCCCCGGGCUCAACCUGGGAACUGCAUCUGUGACUGCAUUGCUGGAGUGCGGCAGAGGGGGAUGGAAUUCCGCGUGUAGCAGUGAAAUGCGUAGAUAUGCGGAGGAACACCGAUGGCGAAGGCAAUCCCCUGGGCCUGCACUGACGCUCAUGCACGAAAGCGUGGGGAGCAAACAGGAUUAGAAACCCUAGUAGUCC
rnacentral:rRNA from 1 species